AGAGUUUGAUCCUGGCUCAGGAUGAACGCUGGCGGCAUGCCUAAUACAUGCAAGUCGAACGAGAGGAAGGAAAGCUUGCUUUUCUGAAUCUAGUGGCGAACGGGUGAGUAACACGUAGGUAACCUGCCCAUGUGCCCGGGAUAACUUCUGGAAACGGAUGCUAAAACCGGAUAGGUAGCAGACAAGCAUUUGACUGCUAUUAAAGUGGCUAAGGCCAUGAACAUGGAUGGACCUGCGGUGCAUUAGCUAGUUGGUGAGGUAACGGCCCACCAAGGCGACGAUGCAUAGCCGGCCUGAGAGGGCGGACGGCCACAUUGGGACUGAGACACGGCCCAAACUCCUACGGGAGGCAGCAGUAGGGAAUUUUCGUCAAUGGGGGGAACCCUGAACGAGCAAUGCCGCGUGAGUGAAGAAGGUCUUCGGAUCGUAAAGCUCUGUUGUAAGAGAAAAACGACAUUCAUAGGGAAUGAUGAGUGAGUGAUGGUAUCUUACCAGAAAGUCACGGCUAACUACGUGCCAGCAGCCGCGGUAAUACGUAGGUGGCGAGCGUUAUCCGGAAUGAUUGGGCGUAAAGGGUGCGUAGGUGGCAGAACAAGUCUGGAGUAAAAGGUAUGGGCUCAACCCGUACUGGCUCUGGAAACUGUUCAGCUAGAGAACAGAAGAGGACGGCGGAACUCCAUGUGUAGCGGUAAAAUGCGUAGAUAUAUGGAAGAACACCGGUGGCGAAGGCGGCCGUCUGGUCUGUUGCUGACACUGAAGCACGAAAGCGUGGGGAGCAAAUAGGAUUAGAUACCCUAGUAGUCCACGCCGUAAACGAAGAAAACUAGGUG
rnacentral:rRNA from 1 species